rnacentral:tRNA from 1 species
GGGGGUAUAGCUCAGUGGUAGAGUGCAUGCUUAGCAUGUACAGGGUCCUGGGUUCAAUCCCCCAUUACCUCCA